GGUAAUGUGGCUGAAAUAAUUUAGGCGAUAAAUUGUAAAUUUAUUUAUGGUUAAUAACCCUUUAUCA
rnacentral:tRNA from 1 species